GAUCAUGGCUCAGGACGAACGCUGGCGGCGUGCUUAACACAUGCAAGUCGAACGAAGAUACACAGAAAGCUUGCUUUCAGUGUAGACUGAGUGGCGGACGGGUGAGUAACGCGUGAGUAACCUGCCUUCAAGAGGGGGACAACUUAGGGAAACUUAAGCUAAUACCGCAUGACAUUAAUUUAUCGCAUGAUAGAUUAAUCAAAGAUUUAUCGCUUGAAGAUGGACUCGCGUCCGA
rnacentral:rRNA from 1 species